rnacentral:rRNA from 1 species
CCUUAAAAUGGUAAAGCCGCGAAUGGCUCGGUAUAACAGCCGCAGUCUAUUAGACCGUAGUUAUCUACUUGGAUAACUGUGGCAAUUCUAGAGCUAAUACAUGCAAUUAAGCUCGGACCGCAAGGAAAGAGCGCAUUUAUUAGACCAAAACCAAUCGGGCCUCGGCUCGCGUUUUGGUGACUCUGAAUAACUUAGUUGAUCGCACGGUCUUAGUACCGGCGACGUAUCUUUCGAAUGUCUGCCUUAUCAACUUUCGAUGGUAGGUUAUACGCCUACCAUGGUUAUAACGGGUAACGGAGAAUUAGGGUUCGACUCCGGAGAGGGAGCCUGAGAAAUGGCUACCACAUCCAAGGAAGGCAGCAGGCGCGCAAAUUACCCAAUCUCAGAACGAGGAGGUAGUGACGAAAAAUAACAAAACAGUCCACUUUGUGGCCUGUUAUCGGAAUGGGUACAAUUUAAAACUUUUAACGAGUAUCAAUUAGAGGGCAAGUCUGGUGCCAGCAGCCGCGGUAAUUCCAGCUCUAAUAGCGUAUAUUAAAGUUGUUGUGGUUAAAACGCCCGUAGUUGGUUCUUCGGUCUCGAAGCUCGGUAGCUCGUAAGGGCUUAACCGGGUCUUCCGGCCUACACUUUUAGUACGCUCCCGAUGCUCUUUAUUGAGUGUCUCGAGUUGCUAGAACGUUUACUUUGAAAAAAUUAGAGUGCUAAAAGCAGGCUAUAUGCUUGAAUAAAGUGCAUGGAAUAAUGGAAUAGGACUUUAGUUUUAUUUUGUUGGUUUUCGAAAUUAAAGUAAUGAUUAAGAGGAACAGACGGGGGCAUUCGUAUUGUUGCGUUAGAGGUGAAAUUCUUGGAUCGUAGCAAGACGAAC